GAGUUUGAUCAUGGCUCAGAUUGAACGCUGGCGGCAGGCCUAGCACAUGCAAGUCGAGCGGUAGAGAGAAGCUUGCUUCUCUUGAGAGCGGCGGACGGGUGAGUAAUGCCUAGGAAUCUGCCUGGUAGUGGGGGAUAACGCUCGGAAACGGACGCUAAUACCGCAUACGUCCUACGGGAGAAAGCAGGGGACCUUCGGGCCUUGCGCUAUCAGAUGAGCCUAGGUCGGAUUAGCUAGUUGGUGAGGUAAUGGCUCACCAAGGCGACGAUCCGUAACUGGUCUGAGAGGAUGAUCAGUCACACUGGAACUGAGACACGGUCCAGACUCCUACGGGAGGCAGCAGUGGGGAAUAUUGGACAAUGGGCGAAAGCCUGAUCCAGCCAUGCCGCGUGUGUGAAGAAGGUCUUCGGAUUGUAAAGCAUUUUAAGUUGGGAGGAAGGGCAGUAAUUAAUACUUUGCUUGUUUGACGUUACCGACAGAAUAAGCACCGG
rnacentral:rRNA from 1 species